rnacentral:rRNA from 1 species
AGUGAACGCUGGCGGCAGGCCUAACACAUGCAAGUCGAACGGCAGCACAGGAGAGCUUGCUCUCUGGGUGGCGAGUGGCGGACGGGUGAGGAAUACAUCGGAAUCUACCUUGUCGUGGGGGAUAACGUAGGGAAACUUACGCUAAUACCGCAUACGACCUACGGGUGAAAGCAGGGGACCUUCGGGCCUUGCGCGAUUGGAUGAGCCGAUGUCGGAUUAGCUAGUUGGCGGGGUAAAGGCCCACAAAGGCGACGAGCCGUAGCUGGUCUGAGAGGAUGAUCGGCAACACUGGAACUGAGAGACGGUCCAGACUCCUACGGGAGGAAGGAGUGGGGAAUAUUGGACAAUGGGCGCAAGCCUGGUCCAGCAAUGCGGCGUGGGUGAAGAAGGCCUUCGGGUUGUAAAGCCCUUUUGUUGGGAAAGAAAAGCAGCCGGUUAAUACCCGGUUGUUCUGACGGUACCCAAAGAAUAAGCACCGGCUAACUUCGUGCCAGCCGCCGCCGUAA